UACAGAACUCUCUCACUCCAUUUAAACUAUCUUUCUUCUGUUUAAGAAUUCACACGGUUGCUAUAAACAUUGGACUCUGUUCCAGAGUUCUGAUGUAGUUCUGACAAUUGUUGUCAGGUUUUUCAGUGUUUCUGGAGUGGGACAAAACAUUAGAGGGGCUUACUUGACCAUUUCUGCUGACAUCACUCCUAUCAUUGGUUCUUGAUGUAGAAUGGGAAAACAAAAAUAAUAGCAGGAAGAACCUCACCAUCAGCUCAGGGGAACAGAUGGAGUAAAAAUGCUAGUGCAUCCUGUUAUUAGCCGACCUUGAAUCAAGUUAUACACCCAAUCAAUGGAAAAAGAGGAAGAGAACAAAAGAAGCGGAGACUGCUAUAAAAGCCUCUAGGUACACAUCCAGAUGGUCGGUUCCUGACUUAACUGAUGACAUUCCACCACAAAAGAAGUGAAAAUGGCCUGUUCCUGCCUUAACUGAUGACAUUAUCUUGUGAAAUUCCUUCUCCUGGCUCAUCCUUACUCAAAAGCUCCCCUACUGAGCACCUUGUCACCCCCCACUCCUGCCCGCCAGAAAACAACCCCCCUUUGACGUAAUUUUCCUUUACCUACCCAAACUCUAUAAAACGGCCCCACCCCAUCUCCCUUCGCUGACUCUUUUCGGACUCAGCCUGCCUGCACCCAGGUGAAAUAAACAGCCUUGU